ensembl:lncRNA
UCCCAGAAGUCAGCCUAACAGAGAUAUUAAGGCACAUGAUGGAUGGAAGCAGAGUUCCUUCUUUCCCCUUCAUGCAGUCUGACUAUUUGGAUGAGAUGGGCAUGAGGGCUCACUGUGUCACACCCCGAACACUGCUAUCCUCUCCACGGUUCCUCCUCUAAUACCUUACUUACUAUUUCUCACCCCAGCGGCUCCCUCCUGUCCUCCACGUUUUCUUACCAUUCCAAUCAUAAAUCUGCUAGUGUUCUCAGGCUUCACCCACCGCUAGCCUCUCUUUCCACCCAGGCUGCUGUCCAUCCUUUCUCCUGCUUUGUUUCUUCUCCAUUCUACCUACGGCCUGUUGACUGCCCCCCCACCAUCUUGUCACUUUCCUUCAGUCUGCCUACUCUCUUCACACGUCCUGCUGACCACUAUCCCACCGUCAUACGCCCCUAUCAACGCUGAAAGCUCAGCUUCUCUGUACACCAGUGCCAAAUCAAAUCUCAGAGACAGAGUUUUGGGUGAAGUUCAGUUCAGUUCAGUCACUCAGUUGUGUCUAACUCUUUGCGACCCCAAAGACUGUAGCACGCCAGGCCUCCCUGUCCAUCACCAGGUCCUGGAGUCCACCCAAACCCAAGUCCAUCGAUCUUCCAGGAUCAGGGAUGGAACUCAUGUCCCGUGAGUUGGCAGGUAGAUUCUUAACCACUAGAGCACCAAGGAAGCCCAUGUGAACAUUCUUCAGAAGAAUGAGGUGGUGGAUUCUUUACCAACUGAGCUAUCAGGGAGUCCCAACUAAGCCUGUGGACCGCAACUCCUGAGCCUGUGCUCCAGAGCCGGGAACUGCAGCUGCUGAGCCCACACGCUGCAGCCACUGAAACCUGUGCACCUGGAGUCUGUGCUAGGCAGCAAGAGCAGCCACCGCAGUGAGAAGCCUGCACACCACGACUAGAGCGCACCUCAACGGGCCACAGCUAGAGAAAGCCCGAGCACAGCGACGAAGACCAAGUAAAGCCACAAACAAAUAAAAGACUUCUCUGGCCCUGUGUCCCAACACCUUGAUGGCAACCUCACAACAGACAAUGAGCCUCAUCUGGCUAAGCUGCUCCUGAAUUCCUGACCGACAGAAAUGAGGAAAUAAAAAGCAUUUACUGCUGUAAGCCAGCAAGGUUGUUUCGGGAUAAUUUGUGACAGAGCAAUAGAAAAC